rnacentral:misc_RNA from 1 species
GAUGAAGAACGUAGCGAAAUGCGAUACGUAAUGUGAAUUGCAGAAUUCAGUGAAUCAUCGAAUCUUUGAACGCAUAUUGCGCUCUCUGGUAUUCCGGAGAGCAUGCUUGUUUGAGUAUCAGUAAACACCUCAACUCCCUUUUCUUUUUUGAAAUGGGAGCUGGACUUGAGUGAUCCCAACACUUUUCUCACUGGAAAGUGGCGGGUCACUUGAAAUGCAGGUGCAGCUGGACUUUUCUCUGAGCUAUAAGCAUAUCUAUUUAGUCUGCCUAAAAAACAGAUUAUUACCUUUGCUGCAGCUAACAUAAAGGAGAUGAGUUCUUGUGCUGACUGAUGCAGGAUUCACAGAGACAGCUUCGCGGCUGACUUUGUAAACUCGAUCUCAAAUCAAGUAAGACUACCCGCUGAACUUAAGCAUAUCAAUAAGCGGAGGA